rnacentral:lncRNA from 1 species
UACGACGUCCGCACCGAGCCACUAGAUGUCGAGGCCGUUAUGAGGCUCGGUGGCGGUAGGAAGCACGGCUGGGCCUGGAUCGCAAACGCCGCCAUCGACCCCAACACCACCCCCACUCUCAGCCAGCUCAGAGCACAAAGCACGAGCUCCAGCCAGCCCAUCCGCGCACGGCCGACUCCGACAGUGAGCAUGUUAGCUUCGCUCCAGGUAAUUCUAGGUUCACUCAUAGUAAAUUAAUAUUCUCGCAACUGAAUUACAUUUGCAUUACUGAAACAUUGGAGUGUAAUCUUGCAGGCCGACAACGCCCAGAAGACGGAGCAGAUCACGGCCCUCACUGCUCGGCUGGAGGCUGAGCGUCUCGCGCGAGAGGCCUAGGACCAGAGGAUGGCUGAGAUGAUGAGGGUCCUGGUCGCUCUGGGGCAGCGUACAUGUGUGGACGUCACGAUGUCAGCUCCAGCGCCUCAGCUGCCACCGCCGUUUAGUUCUACUGUAAGUGUCAAAGUUAACUUCUUCUUUGUAACUGUAGUGCAUAAAUAAUUACUACAAUCUCACAUAAACAUCUAACUGUUUGUGCAGCUUCAGUCGACAGCGGGAUCCAAUAACCCGCCUCGUACGUCACCGGAUCCUAGAGCCUUCGACACACCACCCUCGACGCAGAGGCAGGACGGUUGGGGAGGAUGUACGUGUCGGUGGUUUGGAACUUUGGUUCGAUUUGGUGAACUUGUGGACUACUGGAUGUACAUACAUUAUGUUCGUGAUAUAUAUAUAUGUGAUGUUCGUGAGAUGUAUGUGCUCGUUGUGGACUCUGUGUGAUGGUAUAUAUAUGUAUCUAUCUUUUGUCUAGAUGAAAAUAAACAAACAAAAAAAAUUUAAAAUUUCUCUGGUCUUUGCCGAGGGC